rnacentral:rRNA from 1 species
CCUACGGGUGGCAGCAGUCGAGAAUCAUUCACAAUGGGGGAAACCCUGAUGGUGCGACGCCGCGUGGGGGAAUGAAGGUCUUCGGAUUGUAAACCCCUGUCAUGUGGGAGCAAAUUAAAAAGAUAGUACCACAAGAGGAAGAGACGGCUAACUCUGUACCAGCAGCCGCGGUAAUACAGAGGUCUCAAGCGUUGUUCGGAAUCACUGGGCGUAAAGCGUGCGUAGGCUGUUUCGUAAGUCGUGUGUGAAAGGCGCGGGCUCAACCCGCGGACGGCACAUGAUACUGCGAGACUAGAGUAGUGGAGGGGGAACCGGAAUUCUCGGUGUAGCAGUGAAAUGCGUAGAUAUCGAGAGGAACACUCGUGGCGAAGGCGGGUUCCUGGACAUUAACUGACGCUGAGGCACGAAGGCCAGGGGAGCGAAAGGGAUUAGAUACCCUUGUAGUC